GGGGUGGAGGAGUCCUCACCAAGGUCGCCCAGGGCUCCCAGGGCAAGGGGGAGCAGGGGGAGUGGGGGCCCCUCCCCUGAUGACCUCCUGUGUCCUCAGGCUGUGGAGCUGACAGCAUUCAAGGCAUCAGGUUUCUAGCGAGCGCUUGUGGACUUCAUGCUCUGCCUGCGUGGGGCCCCCUGAGGGACAGCACGACCCCGUAGGACCACCUGCUGCGUCUGCCAGCCACCUCUGCCUACUUCCAGUGGGACCCCUGCCUUGGAACUGUGCUAGCCCUGCUGUGCCCCACAGCUCAGCACCCCCUAACUUUCCAAGAUUGUCCCCCACACCUCCACCCCUGGCCCUUCCUGGCUGCCUUGAAAUUCAGAGCCCUGCGGUGGCUCUCCUAAUAAGUGGUACCACUGUGACCUGUUCCUUCCUGGGGGUCACCCCAGCCUGGGGAGGGGGACGGGAGGCCAGGCUCCCUGGGAGGAGGGUGGGACAAGAGAAGCUGCCCCUUAGUCUCUGGGAAUCAAGACAGCCCUAGUUUCAUCAACAGGGUUGGUGCAGCCAACACUUAAUGAGCACCUACUGUGUACCUGGCUGGUACUGAGUCCUUGACUCUUAGAGCUGUGGGUCCUCACCUCAGCUCCAUGACUAUUGUCACCCCCAUUAUACAGAGGAAGAAGCUGAGGCUCAGAGAUAUUCUCCCCCGCUGGUGCGGUGAGGGGAAGUCCCCCAGACAAGACUGCUCAGAGAAGGCACCAGGGUAGGUGGGCCUGGCUCCAGGUAUGAUGGGUCAUGCUGCGGGGAGACCCCAACUCAGACUCUGGCUAUGGGACAGGGUGCUGCCUGCCACCACUGAUUCUAGGGGCUAGGGGCAAGACUCCUGAGUCCAGGUCCCUUCUUAGGGAGAGUUGGCUUCAGGGCUGAGGUGAUCGGUGGUGAUGACAUGUUAGAGGCUGGCACCAGGGUGGGCCUUGAGGUGGAAGCCAGGUGAAGGAUGGGCCCAGGGGCCGCUACCACUGUCCUGCCGACCUCAUCCUAGCUCAGAUGCUGCAGGGGCCAGAGGAUGUGAGCAUCAGAGCAGCCUCCCUGGAGGAGGCUCACUUGAG
rnacentral:lncRNA from 1 species